UGGGGAAUAUUGGACAAUGGGCGGAAGCCUGAUCCAGCCAUGCCGCGUGUGUGAAGAAGGCCUUUUGGUUGUAAAGCACUUUAAGCGAGGAGGAGGCUACUUGGAUUAAUACUCUAGGAUAGUGGACGUUACUCGCAGAAUAAGCACCGGCUAACUCUGUGCCAGCAGCCGCGGUAAUACAGAGGGUGCGAGCGUUAAUCGGAUUUACUGGGCGUAAAGCGUGCGUAGGCGGGUUUUUAAGUCGGAUGUGGAAUCCCUGCGCUUUACUUAAGAAAUGGCAUCGAUAGUGGGCAGCUAGGAGAUGGGGGAGGAAGGGUAGAUUGCAAGUGGAGGGGUGGAAUUCGUAGGGGUGUUGAAGGAUACCGAUGGCGGAGGCAAGCAUCUGGGCUUAUACUGACGCUGAGGUACGAAAGCAUAGGGAGCAAACGGG
rnacentral:rRNA from 1 species